AUAUAUAAAAAACUUCUAUCUUCAUACACUGGACUGGACACACACGGAUUUCACACCAAAAACCCUCUGAAAUUCAGACUCUUUUCCUUCAUUUGAAGACUGAUUUUGAGAUGGAUUUUUACACAUGAACCUUCUGAAAAAUUAGGAACUUCAUUCUCAUUUGACAAUGAUUUUGCAUUAGAGUUUCAUUGGUUUUGGGUCUAUUGCUGACUUCUGGGUUGAAGAUUGAAGUUAUUAUGUGUUGUUUUCUACUGUAAUUUGCUGUUAUUGUUUAGCUGAGUUCUUUUCUUUGGAUUCCAGACCUUUAUUUGGUCAUUUCCUUCUGUUUCCUUACUGAUAGUAUCAUUAACUUGCAAUCUCAGAAUCCAAUGGCAAGGCUUUGGAAUCGCAAGGAGCUGGCAGUAAACACUAUGGCAGGAAUUGAUAUGGCAAAAGUCUAAUUUUAGAGUCUGUUAGUAGAAGCCUAUAGGUGAUGACAGUAUUUUAAUCUAUAUCACUAGUUGUUAAUUUUCAUAAAUGUCUAUAAUUGUUAGAAUCACUUAUUGUAAUCUCUGUAUGUAACAUGUUCACAAUUCAUGCUUUUUAGACAUCUUUUCGAUAGCCC